CACGCCGCGUGUAUGAUGAAGGUCUUCGGAUUGUAAAGCUCUGUCUUUGGGGAAGAAUGAUACGGUUGCCAAUAUUGAGUGCACAUCACGGUACCCUACGACGACGCCCCGGCUAACUACGUGCCAGCAGCCGCCGUAAUACAUAGGGGGCAAGCGUUGUCCAGAAUUAUUGUUCGUAGAGGGCGCGUAUGCGGAUACUCAACUCCAGUGUGAAAUAUCAAGGCUCAACCCUGAAAGUGCAUCGGAAACUGGGUAUCUCCAAGACUGGAGAGGAAAGUGGAAUUCCUCAUGUAGAGCACAAAUGCCUAAAUGUACGUACUAACACCUGUGUCAAACGCAACUUUCUGGACUGGAGCUGACGCUAAGGCUCGAAACCCUGGGGAGCCAACCCGAUUACAUACCCUGCUAGUCCACGCUGUAAACGAUGACUGCUAUGCGUAGAGGGUAUCGACCCCUUCUGUGCCG
rnacentral:rRNA from 1 species